UUCCGUCUGCCCGGGUACAGGAAACAUAAGUUCCUGUACCGCGGCGCGCUCGGCCACACUAGACAGAGUGCCUGGCAGGAGGGAGCGCUAUGCGCUCACCUCCUGCCAGUCACUCCGGCUUUGCGUCCGCCGGGCCGGUGCGCCCUAAGGCGGCCCCUUGUGCCGCCUUAUGGAUGCGCCGGCGGAGUGCUCCCUCCCUCCCUCCGGCGAACCUAUGGCCGCGUGCCCACAGAGGGGGCUCGGCGUGCCACCUGUGGCACGCGUGCCAUAGGUUCGCCAUCACUGAGAUAGAUGCUAGUUGUAGAUAGUCAUAGUAAGGUAAUGGAUACAGUAGAGUAUACCACCCCAGAGAGCCCCAACAUCCUGAAUAUCACCCUAUAGAAAUGGCAGCAGAUUAUAUUACCCUCUGGACCUGUCGCAGUAAAUAGAGUGUGAGGUGAGGGACACAAAUAUGGCAAGCAAGAAGUGUAAUGCAGCUCGGUUUCCCCAUUCUGGGUAGACGCUGGGGGUCAGAGGCCCAUUCUGGUGGUCAUCCUAUCCCCCUUGUAGGGAAUUGAGUGUCCCAGAGUGCUUGGCUUUGCGGGCUCUCAGCCGGGUGAGACCCCUGCAUAUUUUCGUGCAGCAGUCGUGUUCUAUUCUCCUCUCUGACCCCGUGCGUUUCUUGUGCUUGGUGCUGGGGUUAUAGGGCUUCAGGGUGUGCAGGCCGGCUAAUUUUACCGUCUUGCGCUGCUUAGGCAGUCGUCACCGACUCCGAUUGGUGGUGUGCGCAGCAGGGCGCUUCAGGGAGUAGCGGGAUGGUUCAGGAGGUGCCUCGGUGGUCUCAGUGGGUGUCAGCCUGCACUCCAGCUUCCUCCAGAAGGCGUCAAAGAUUGCCUAUAGGCACCGGUAUGUAUCAGGCAUCUCCCCUCCAGGAGUCCGGGGACGCAUGUUGUCCGCCAUCUUAGGUGUUGUUUCGUAUUGUUCACGGGUGCUUGUGGCUCUGCUGCGGCACCCCGAUGGGGUUUGGG